GACGAACGCUGGCGGCGUGCCUAAUACAUGCAAGUAGAACGCUGAAGAGAGGAGCUUGCUCUUCUUGGAUGAGUUGCGAACGGGUGAGUAACGCGUAGGUAACCUGCCUUGUAGCGGGGGAUAACUAUUGGAAACGAUAGCUAAUACCGCAUAACAAUGGAUGACGCAUGUCAUUUAUUUGAAAGGGGCAAUUGCUCCACUACAAGAUGGACCUGCGUUGUAUUAGCUAGUAGGUGAGGUAAUGGCUCACCUAGGCGACGAUACAUAGCCGACCUGAGAGGGUGAUCGGCCACACUGGGACUGAGACACGGCCCAGACUCCUACGGGAGGCAGCAGUAGGGAAUCUUCGGCAAUGGGGGCAACCCUGACCGAGCAACGCCGCGGGAGUGAAGAAGGUUUUCGGAUCGUAAAGCUCUGUUGUAAGUCAAGAACGGGUGUGAGAGUGGAAAGUUCACACUGUGACGGUAGCUUACCAGAAAGGGACGGCUAACUACGUG
rnacentral:rRNA from 1 species